GGAAAAUUUUGAGUUGGGAUAACCUCCAAAACCAGAGGAGAUUUCUUUUUAAAAAGUCAUUAUCAUCAGAUGUUUCUAAAAUGUUUAAAAUUCAGAGGCAGAUUGCCGGCAACAGCCAUUUUAGGAUAGUUUGUGGUUUGAACUUAGUGACUUAGGAGUCCUCUUCACUAUUCCUAACAUUUCACAGAUUUGGAGCUUUAAUUUGAGUCCUAAAUUUAGUAUUGACAUGCCCAUUAUUUUUUAGAUUAUGAGCUAAAGUUAUGAGCUACUUUUUUGUUUUGUGAAUAUGGGCCCUUGAGUUUGUGCAUUUGUGCAUUUAUUGACAGUCUCAAGUUUCUUUUUUCUUAAAUACAGGAAACAAAAUAAAGUGACAGAUGAACAGUGAAAGAAUGAGAUAUUUUUAUUUUAUUUUAUUUAUAAUUAUUAUUAUUAUUAUUAUUAUUUUGAAAAAGAGUAGAAGACUUGCAAUAAACUCAGGAAUUAUAAGUUCCAAGAGGUUGGCAGAGGAAGAAGUGAGAGAAAGCAGAGAUCAAGUGAUCUAAAUGAGCAGGUUUUAUUGAAUAAUCUUAGUUCCGUCUGUUUCAGUGCUCAGCUGGACUUCAUCUGACCACAACAAAUGUGCAUGUUGAAUUAAUGCAAUGGAAAAUUACCCCUUCACAGCAUCAUCAUGUGGCGUUAAAAACCUUUUGACAAACUAAAGACAGAUAUGUCUGUGAUUGGCUACAUUGCCAGAUCUUCAAUUACUUUUGCUUUAAUUUGAGGGUAUUUAGCACCCCCUAGUACCCCUGUAGAACCGGGCCUGGGCUUGGCUAUGUACUCCAAUUGCAGCAGGGCUUAUAUUGGGGAUUCCAUGACUACCGACAUAUGGGGGGAACUUUGUGAACUUUGUGAAAUGUGAAUUUAGAAAAGUUGUCAUUUAUUGAACAUCCUUGAGACACACCAUAUGACAAUUCUGAGAUUUAGCUAAAAAAUAAUUAAAUAAUAAUAAUAAUAAAUCUUAUAACAAAGAAGUUUUUAUGACAAUGGUUCCAUGUUAGACAAAAACAUUUUAAAUGAUGACAAUAGUAAUUAUUUAAGUUUUUAUCUUGUGACAGUAAAAAAUGUCAUGUCAUGCAACAACACAUUUAAGCAAACUUUUAAAACUUUUUAAAAUGUAAAAUUAAAGAGUUUAACAAAAAAAAAAAUCUGUGAGAUUAAUGUUUAAAACAAAAACACCUGGUUAUGAAAAUUAUAUUAGAGAACAAUAAAAAUGAUAAUAAUAAUAAUAAUAAAUGGGCUGGCAUGACAGGCCAGAUUAUAAUGCAAAAAUAGUCAAACAUAAGUGUAAACAUGUUGAAACCUGAGUACCGCGGGACCCAACGCAACAGGGUGCGGCGCGGGACAACUCUUGAUGGGUGGGAAGAGUCUGUGAGCAGAAUCUGUCCCGUGCAGGUUUCUAAUACAGAGAUAAGAGAUGCUUAUAACUACACAUCCUAUUAUAGUGUGUAUACUAAUUACAGCGUAGAUAUUGUAUGCAGCCUAAUUUGCAUGCAUCAGGGAGCCGCAGCCGCUCUCAAACUGCUGGAAUUAAAAAUGGGCGCCACUAUUUGUAAAUUCUAUGGGUCUAGCUUCCGGUCUCAUUUGCAUCAAGCUAUUUUUAGCUGUACAAAACAGUUUGUUUUGCUGCUUGAUAUUGACAAUUGACGUGUCCUAUCAUAUUAUUUUAAUCUGUUAUCUUGAUUAAGAACACACUGGUUUGUACUGCAAACUGUUUUACCGUUUACUGCACGUUGUUAUUCUCCUCGUUAUUUACCUAUAGCAGCUAAUGAAAUGGAAGUCUCACCCAUAGGCUUACUUCCGCGUUGAGGAAAAUGGUGGAUAUCGUGCACCCCUAAUUUUGCAUAAGCAUCUUAAGCAACAUGCUUGUUGUUGAGUUGGGGUGAUGCUUCCCUCAUAAAUAUAGUAUUAAGCCAACCUUUCCCAUUGCUGGCCAUUCAUAUUGCAUCAGUUGUGUUGGGGAGUUUUGGCAUAUGGUUGUUUUGGGGGUUUGUCUUGCUGCUCUC
ensembl:lncRNA